UCUGGUAUGGAAAGUUUGACGAGGGAACAACUGUCUCAGUUUAAAUUUUAUAGAAAUUUAUUUUUAAGUUAAAAAGCUUAAAUAUAUUUAGAAGACGAGAAGACCCUAUAGAGUUUUAUAAAUUAAUUUAGUUAAUAUUUUUUAGUAUAUUUUGAAUUAGUUAAAUUGUUUUAUUUAGUUGGGGUGAUUGAAAAAUUAAAAUAACUUUUUUUUUUUAAAACAAAUAUUUUUGAUUAA
rnacentral:rRNA from 1 species